UGGGGAAUAUUGCGCAAUGGGCGAAAGCCUGACGCAGCGACGCCGCGUGGGGGAUGAAGGCCUUCGGGUUGUAAACCUCUUUCGGCAGGGACGAAGUUGACGUGUACCUGCGGAAGAAGCGCCGGCUAACUACGUGCCAGCAGCCGCGGUAAUACGUAGGGCGCGAGCGUUGUCCGGAAUUACUGGGCGUAAAGGGCGCGUAGGCGGAUUUGCAAGUCAGGGGUGAAAUCCCGGGGCUCAACCCCGGAACUGCCUUUGAUACUGGCGGUCUUGAGUUCGGGAGAGGUGAGUGGAAUUCCGAGUGUAGAGGUGAAAUUCGUAGAUAUUCGGAGGAACACCAGUGGCGAAGGCGGCUCACUGGCCCGAUACUGACGCUGAGGCGCGAAAGCGUGGGGAGCAAACAGGAUUAGAUACCC
rnacentral:rRNA from 1 species